UACGAAGGGGGCGAGCGUUGUUCGGAUUUACUGGGCGUAAAGGGCGCGCAGGCGGUCUUGAAAGUCAGGCGUGAAAGCCCCGGGCUUAACCUGGGAAUUGCGCUUGAUACUCUGAGACUGGAGUACGGGAGAGGAGAGUGGAAUUCCCAGUGUAGAGGUGAAAUUCGUAGAUAUUCGGAAGAACACCAGUGGCGAAGGCGGCUCACUGGACCACAACUGACGCUGAGGCGCGAAAGCUAGGGGAGCAAACAGG
rnacentral:rRNA from 1 species